GACGAACGCUGGCGGCGUGCUUAACGCAUGCAAGUCGAACGAAGAGCGAUGGAAGCUUGCUUCUAUCAAUCUUAGUGGCGAACGGGUGAGUAACGCGUAAUCAACCUGCCCUUCAGAGGGGGACAACAGUUGGAAACGACUGCUAAUACCGCAUACGAUCUAAUCUCGGCAUCGAGGAUAGAUGAAAGGUGGCCUCUACAUGUAAGCUAUCACUGAAGGAGGGGAUUGCGUCUGAUUAGCUAGUUGGAGGGGUAACGGCCCACCAAGGCGAUGAUCAGUAGCCGGUCUGAGAGGAUGAACGGCCACAUUGGGACUGAGACACGGCCCAGACUCCUACGGGAGGCAGCAGUGGGGAAUCUUCCGCAAUAGACGAAAGUCUGACGGAGCAACGCCGCGUGAGUGAUGACGGCCUUCGGGUUGUAAAGCUCUGUUAAUCGGGACGAAAGGCCUUCUUGCGAAUAGUGAGAAGGAUUGACGGUACCGGAAUAGAAAGCCACGGCUAACUACGUG
rnacentral:rRNA from 1 species